rnacentral:rRNA from 1 species
UAGGGAAUAUUGGGCAAUGGAGGGAACUCUGACCCAGCCAUGCCGCGUGCAGGAUGAAGGCGUUAUGCGUUGUAAACUGCUUUUAUAUAGGAAGAAAUAGUCCUUGCGAGGAAAGUUGACGGUACUAUAUGAAUAAGCACCGGCUAACUCCGUGCCAGCAGCCGCGGUAAUACGGAGGGUGCAAGCGUUGUCCGGAUUUAUUGGGUUUAAAGGGUGCGUAGGCGGUUUAUUAAGUCAGUGGUGAAAGACGGUCGCUCAACGAUUGCAGUGCCAUUGAUACUGGUAGACUUGAGUAUGAUUGAGGUAGCUGGAAUGGAUAGUGUAGCGGUGAAAU